rnacentral:tRNA from 1 species
GUGUGGCUCAGUGGGUAGAGUGCUGGCCCNAGCAUAUCAGAGGCCCUGGGUUCGAUUCCCAGCAC